rnacentral:SRP_RNA from 1 species
UAGUAGGGAGGAUCGGGGUGCCAGCCGUGCCCCAUUCCGAAACCGGCUAUACGCGGAGAUCAGCAACCGCUGGGUAAAUCUCUGUGUGGGCAGUUCCCGCCCGGCGCGUUGGGACGAGGUCACGCCGGGGCAGGUGGUUGCAGGUCCGGAGGCGUCCGAAGGGGUGCCGUCCAAGACCGAGCCGCCGAACGAGACCAGGUCCGGGAGGGAGCAGUCCUAAGGCGGGGCAUCCACGCUUCCCCGUCAACGUGGCGGACUGGCGCGCCCCGAGAUGGGGCUGUCCACCCAGGGUGGAGCCGGCGGGGCUACUA